UGGGGAAUAUUGGACAAUGGGCGAAAGCCUGAUCCAGCCAUGCCGCGUGUGUGAAGAAGGUCUUCGGAUUGUAAAGCACUUAAGUUGGGAGGAAGGGCAUUAACCUAAUACGUUAGUGUUUUGACGUUACCGACAGAAUAAGCACCGGCUAACUCUGUGCCAGCAGCCGCGGUAAUACAGAGGGUGCAAGCGUUAAUCAGAAUUACUGGGCGUAAAGCGCGCGUAGGUGGUUUGUUAAGUUGGAUGUGAAAUCCCCGGGCUCAACCUGGGAACUGCAUUCAAAACUGACUGACUAGAGUAUGGUAGAGGGUGGUGGAAUUUCCUGUGUAGCGGUGAAAUGCGUAGAUAUAGGAAGGAACACCAGUGGCGAAGGCGACCACCUGGACUAAUACUGACACUGAGGUGCGAAAGCGUGGGGAGCAAACA
rnacentral:rRNA from 1 species